GACGAACGCUGGCGGCGUGCUUAACACAUGCAAGUCGAGCGGUAAGGCCCUUUCGGGGGUACACGAGCGGCGAACGGGUGAGUAACACGUGGGUGACCUGCCCUCAGCUCUGGGAUAAGCCUGGGAAACCGGGUCUAAUACUGGAUAUGACUCCAUGACGCAUGUCGUGGGGUGGAAAGCCUUGUGCGGCUGAGGAUGGGCCCGCGGCCUAUCAGCUUGUUGGUGGGGUGAUGGCCUACCAAGGCGACGACGGGUAGCCGGCCUGAGAGGGCGACCGGCCACACUGGGACUGAGACACGGCCCAGACUCCUACGGGAGGCAGCAGUGGGGAAUCUUGCGCAAUGGGCGAAAGCCUGACGCAGCGACGCCGCGUGAGGGAUGAAGGCC
rnacentral:rRNA from 1 species